AUCUCUUACCCAUGUCUUUUGAGUACCUUCGUUUCCUCGGCGGGUCCGCCCGCCGAUUGGACAACUUAAACCAUUUGCAGUUGCAAUCAGCGUCUGAAAAAACUUAAUAGUUACAACUUUCAACAACGGAUCUCUUGGUUCUGGCAUCGAUGAAGAACGCAGCGAAAUGCGAUAAGUAGUGUGAAUUGCAGAAUUCAGUGAAUCAUCGAAUCUUUGAACGCACAUUGCGCCCCUUGGUAUUCCAUGGGGCAUGCCUGUUCGAGCGUCAUUUGUACCUUCAAGCUCUGCUUGGUGUUGGGUGUUUGUCUCGCCUCUGCGCGUAGACUCGCCUCAAAACAAUUGGCAGCCGGCGUAUUGAUUUCGGAGCGCAGUACAUCUCGCGCUUUGCACUCAUAACGACGACGUCCAAAAGUACAUUUUUACACUCUUGACCUCGGAUCAGGUAGGGAUACCCGCUGAACUUAAGCAUAUCAAUA
rnacentral:rRNA from 1 species